GAGUAAUGUCUGGGAAACUGCCUGAUGGAGGGGGAUAACUACUGGAAACGGUGGCUAAUACCGCAUAACGUCGCAAGACCAAAGAGGGGGACCUUCGGGCCUCUUGCCAUCAGAUGUGCCCAGAUGGGAUUAGCUUGUUGGUGAGGUAACGGCUCACCAAGGCGACGAUCCCUAGCUGGUCUGAGAGGAUGACCAGCCACACUGGAACUGAGACACGGUCCAGACUCCUACGGGAGGCAGCAGUGGGGAAUAUUGCACAAUGGGCGCAAGCCUGAUGCAGCCAUGCCGCGUGUAUGAAGAAGGCCUUCGGGUUGUAAAGUACUUUCAGCGGGGAGGAAGGUGUUGUGGUUAAUAACCGCAGCAAUUGACGUUACCCGCAGAAGAAGCACCGGCUAACUCCGUGCCAGCAGCCGCGGUAAUACGGAGGGUGCAAGCGUUAAUCGGAAUUACUGGGCGUAAAGCGCACGCAGGCGGUCUGUCAAGUCGGAUGUGAAAUCCCCGGGCUCAACCUGGGAACUGCAUUCGAAACUGGCAGGCUUGAGUCUUGUAGAGGGGGGUAGAAUUCCAGGUGUAGCGGUGAAAUGCGUAGAGAUCUGGAGGAAUACCGGUGGCGAAGGCGGCCCCCUGGACAAAGACUGACGCUCAGGUGCGAAAGCGUGGGGAGCAAACAGGAUUAGAUACCCUGGUAGUCCACGCCGUAAACGAUGUCUACUUGGAGGUUGUGCCCUUGAGGCGUGGCUUCCGGAGCUAACGCGUUAAGUAGACCGCCUGGGGAGUACGGCCGCAAGGUUAAAACUCAAAUGAAUUGACGGGGGCCCGCACAAGCGGUGGAGCAUGUGGUUUAAUUCGAUGCAACGCGAAGAACCUUACCUGGUCUUGACAUCCACAGAAGAAUCCAGAGAUGGAUUUGUGCCUUCGGGAACUGUGAGACAGGUGCUGCAUGGCUGUCGUCAGCUCGUGUUGUGAAAUGUUGGGUUAAGUCCCGCAACGAGCGCAACCCUUAUCCUUUGUUGCCAGCGAUUAGGUCGGGAACUCAAAGGAGACUGCCAGUGAUAAACUGGA
rnacentral:rRNA from 1 species